rnacentral:rRNA from 1 species
UACGGAGGGAGCUAGCGUUGUUCGGAUAUACUGGGCGUAAAGCGCACGUAGGCGGCGCCGUAAGUCAGGGGUGAAAUCCCGGAGCUCAACUCCGGAACUGCCUUUGAAACUGCGGUGCUAGAAUCCUGGAGAGGCGAGUGGAAUUCCGAGUGUAGAGGUGAAAUUCGUAGAUAUUCGGAAGAACACCAGUGACGAAGGCGACUCGCUGGACAGGUAUUGACGCUGAGGUGCGAAAGCGUGGGGAGCAAACAGG